AACGUAGGUUCCGAGCGUUAUCCGGAUUUACUGGGCGUAAAGCGCGUUCAGGCGGUUUGGCAAGUCGGGCAUGAAAUCUCUCGGCUCAACCGGGAGAGGUUGUCCGAUACUGCUGGACUUGAGGGCAGUAGAGGGUGGUGGAAUUCCGGGUGUAGUGGUGAAAUGCGUAGAUAUCCGGAGGAACACCAGUGGCGAAAGCGGCCACCUGGACUGCGCCUGACGCUGAGGAGCGAAAGCGUGGGGAGCGAACAGG
rnacentral:rRNA from 1 species